UUACGGCUAUAUCACAUUGAAACACCAGUUCUCAUAUGAUCACCAAAGUUAAGCUAUGUCAAGCCUGGUCAGUACCUAGAUUGGUGACCGCUUGGGAAUAGCAAGUGCUGUAAG